ACUUUUAAAGGAAAAUAGUUAUCCGAUGGCCCUAGGAACCAGCAUUCU
rnacentral:tRNA from 1 species